GAUGAACGCUGGCGGCGUGCUUAACACAUGCAAGUCGAACGGUGAAGCAGGAGCUUGCUCUUGUGGAUCAGUGGCGAACGGGUGAGUAACACGUGAGCAACCUGCCCCUGACUCUGGGAUAAGCGCUGGAAACGGCGUCUAAUACUGGAUAUGUGAUGUGACCGCAUGGUCUGCAUCUGGAAAGAAUUUCGGUUGGGGAUGGGCUCGCGGCCUAUCAGCUUGUUGGUGAGGUAAUGGCUCACCAAGGCGUCGACGGGUAGCCGGCCUGAGAGGGUGCACGGCCAUCCUGGGACUGAGACACGGCCCAGAUUCCGACGGGAGGCAGCAGUGGGGAAUAUUGCACAAUGGGCGGAAGCCUGAUGCAGCAACGCCGCGUGAGGGAUGACGGCCUUCGGGUUGUAAACCUCUUUUAGCAGGGAAGAGGCGAAAGUGACGGUACCUGCAGAAAAAGCACCGGCUAACUACGUGCCAGCCGCCGCAGUAA
rnacentral:rRNA from 1 species